rnacentral:rRNA from 1 species
UUCCAGACUCCUACGGGAGGCAGCAGUGAGGAAUAUUGGUCAAUGGGCGAGAGCCUGAACCAGCCAAGUCGCGUGAGGGAAGACGGUCCUAUGGAUUGUAAACCUCUUUUGCCGGGGAGCAAAAAGCGGUACGUGUACCGCAUCGAGAGUACCCGGAGAAAAAGCAUCGGCUAACUCCGUGCCAGCAGCCGCGGUAAUACGGAGGAUGCGAGCGUUAUCCGGAUUUAUUGGGUUUAAAGGGUGCGUAGGCGGAAUGCCAAGUCAGCGGUAAAAUCGCGGGGCUCAACCCCGUCGUGCCGUUGAAACUGAUGUUCUUGAGUGGGCGAGAAGUAUGCGGAAUGCGUGGUGUAGCGGUGAAAUGCAUAGAUAUCACGCAGAACUCCGAUUGCGAAGGCAGCAUGCCGGCUCCACACUGACGCUGAGGCACGAAAGCGUGGGUAUCGAACAGGAUUAGAUACCCCGGUAUA